GGAGCACUGAGCUCUCAGCCACCGCGUCUCCUCCACGCUGGCCUCCUACACCUCCCUGGAGCAGACCCUCAGCUUCCCAGACCAGCAAGUUGCAGCAGUCUGUGUUUGAUGCGCAGCAAGCUUCAGAGAGAGCGAACCGUGUGGAGGAAGCGCUGGAGACUUCCAGGAAGCAGCUGGAGGACUAUGAGGACGCUCUGUCGCAGAGAGAAUCCCUGAUUAAAGAGCUGCACGCUGAAGCUGAGAUGCAUCACCACCAGCUCGGUCUGCUCACUCAACUGCAGUCUGAACUGUGCAGUGCCAGAGAAAUGAGCGAGUUCUUGCAGGCGGAAAACGACCUGGCUCGGGAUCAGACGGAGGAGAGUGAGAGACUGCUGCGGGGCCACGUACAGAGCCUGAGAGAGAGAGACUCGGAGUGUGAGGACCUCAGACUAGCGCUGGAGCAGCUCAGGCUGGAGAAGGACUCUCUUCAGGAGGAGCUGGACAGCACACGAGACAAAGCGCGCAGCAUGCUGCUGGAACAAGGAGAGCAGAUGGCUCAGGCGUCCGAAUGAUCUCGUGGUCCUCAACCACAGAGUCUGCCGUCUCACCGGCAUCUUGAAGGAAUCCCUAGCCUCCGAGGAGUCCGAGAGCUCUGAUAAGACAUCGCAGCCUCUCAGACAUCCCUCCAGCUCUUUUGUGGGUUCUGUGAUGGUGGCCAUGAUGAAGACGGCGUCUCCUGAGGGUUCAGAGGAGCAACAAGAAGGCAUCGUCAGUGAAACCAGCGCUUUUACUCGAAUACCACCAUCCACACACACCAGAAGGGAGAGAGGAGAGGCGGAGCCGUAUGGUGGAUCUGUUGUGUGAUUUAGGUGAGAGCGUCUCAGAUCUCCAGCUCACUUUAGACCAGCUGAGGGUCCAGAGAGACGCGGAGCAGCAGACCGUGUGAGUUCCUCAACCUCCGGGUUACUCUGUAGAAGAGUUUCUGCUGUAUGUGGAUAAUAUCUGUUCAUAUUUACCGUGCAUAUAAAUAUAUAACAUUGGACAUGCUUUGAGCAGUUCAGCAGUAGAUGAGACGCCUGUAGUGUUACGUCACAUUAAACACAAUAUUAUUCAAAAGGGUUUGUAGUUUGGUUUUUACUCGAAUCAAAAAUGAAAAUGUCCUCAUGUCACUCUGAGACUUUUCUUCUGCAAGACACAAAAGAAGAUAUUUUGAAGAACAGUGGCAACCAAACUAAAUUGUUGGCCAUUAACUUCCAUUGUAAACAAAAAC